GAUGAAGAACGCAGCGAAAUGCGAUAAGUAAUGUGAAUUGCAGAAUUCAGUGAAUCAUCGAAUCUUUGAACGCACCUUGCGCCCUUUGGCUAUUCCGAAGGGCAUGCCUGUUUGAGUAUCGUGAACACCUCAACUCUCAUGGUUUGCCAUGAUGAGCUUGGACUUUGGGGGUUUUGCUGGCCUUUGGUCGGCUCCUCUCAAACGGAUCAGCUUUCCAGUGUUUGGUGGCGUCACGGGUGUGAUAACUAUCUACGCCUGUGGUUUUCUGCCAGAUAACCUUCAGCGAUGGAGGUUCGCUGGGGCUCAUAACUGUCUCUCUUCAGUGGAGACAGCUUUUUGGACGUUUGAUCUCAAAUCAGGUAGGACUACCCGCUGAACUUAAGCAUAUCAAUAAGCGGAGGA
rnacentral:misc_RNA from 1 species